AUGCACGCUGACAGAAUGCUUAACACAUGCAAGUCGAUGGGGAAGUGGUGCUUGCACCAUGGUAACCAUGGCGGACGGGUGAGUAACGCGUAAGGAACUUGCCUGCGGGACUGGGAUAACAGCAGGAAACUGCUGAUAAUACCGGAUAAGGUCAUUAAGCUGCAUAGCUUAGUGAUGAAAGGAGACGCCUGCGGAGAGCCUUGCGUCCUAUUAGCUAGUUGGAGGGGUAACGGCCCACCAAGGCGAAGAUAGGUAGCCGGCCUGAGAGGGUGGACGGCCACAAGGGGACUGAAAUACGGCCCUUACUCCUACGGGAGGCAGCAGUGGGGAAUAUUGGACAAUGGGGGCAACCCUGAUCCAGCAAUUCUGUGUGCACGAAGACGGUUUUCGGAUUGUAAAGUGCUUUCAGCAGGGAAGAAGGAAGUGACGGUACCUGCAGAAGAAGCGACGGCUAAAUACGUG
rnacentral:rRNA from 1 species